GCGACCAAAUAAACAGUGAUUUUCAAAUAUACAAUCUUUAGACUAGGAUUAGUUAAUAAAAAUUGAUGUUGUUUGCAAUGUAUAGCCCAUGGGCCCCAUAUUCAUGUGAACUUUCCUGAUACGAUGUGGUACAAACGGAUAACGAAUAUAAUGCUGGCAAAUUUGGAAUAUUUGGAUUACAGCGGAUAUUACUAAUCAGUGGACGAGUCACACGAGUUAGUGACUCUCAACCUCAAUCUCACUCCAAUUUGUAUGCAAGUGUUGGUUCAAUGGACUUUGUUCCAAAGACUGAAAAACCAUCAUCGGGAUGGGAGCGAAUAAAAUCGGGCAUGGUGAACGCAUUUUCAGCUGUCGACAGUGCAUUGUCAAUGAAAAGUUACAACGUAUCAUUCUCUAAAUGGAAUUCCUUCCCAAAUAUUCAUUUCACAUAACCGCAUUUUUACUAUUUUUCUUUGGUGCAGAAUAUCGUACAUAAACCUGGAUUCAGAACGGAAAUCGAUGAGAUUUGCGAGAAAAACUGCGCCAGAUUGCGAGAAAAGGAGAAGAAUAUGUCAACACUGGAUAAAUUGGAAGCAAUAAAAGACAGGAUGGAUUGUUAAAAUUAAGAUGCACAGGAAGUUUGGUCACAAUGGCUACUUCAAGUUCCAAACUUAAAUCUAUCCCCUCCAUUUCAAAAUACACCAAAAUGAAAUAAUCUCGACUGAAAUAAACAUGUGUAGUUCUAUUAUG